CCCUUAGAUGUUCUGGGCCGCACGCGCGCUACACUGUUCGACGCAGCGAGUCUUAACCUUGACCGAAAGGUUUGGGUAAUCUUCAGCAAAGUCGAACGUGAUGGGGAUCGAUCAUUGCAAUUAUUGAUCGUGAACGAGGAAUUCCAAGUAAGUGCAAGUCAUCAGCUUGCGCUGAUUACGUCCCUGCCCUUUGUACACACCGCCCGUCGCUACUACCGAUUGAAUGGUUUAGUGAGAUCUCUGGAUUGACGCUGGCUAGGGGGCGACCCUUGGCCAGACUGUUGAGAAACUGCUCAAACUUGAUCAUUUAGAGGAAGUAAAAGUCGUAACA
rnacentral:rRNA from 1 species